UUGUGAGCUCGAUGAGUAGGGCGGGACACGUGGUAUCCUGUCUGAAUAUGGGGGGACCAUCCUCCAAGGCUAAAUACUCCUGACUGACCGAUAGUGAACCAGUACCGUGAGGGAAAGGCGAAAAGAACCCCGGCGAGGGGAGUGAAAAAGAACCUGAAACCGUGUACGUACAAGCAGUGGGAGCACGCUUAGGCGUGUGACUGCGUACCUUUUGUAUAAUGGGUCAGCGACUUAUAUUCUGUAGCAAGGUUAACCGAAUAGGGGAGCCGAAGGGAAACCGAGUCUUAACUGGGCGUUAAGUUGCAGGGUAUAGACCCGAAACCCGGUGAUCUAGCCAUGGGCAGGUUGAAGGUUGGGUAACACUAACUGGAGGACCGAACCGACUAAUGUUGAAAAAUUAGCGGAUGACUUGUGGCUGGGGGUGAAAGGCCAAUCAAACCGGGAGAUAGCUGGUUCUCCCCGAAAGCU
rnacentral:rRNA from 1 species